rnacentral:rRNA from 1 species
AUUGAACGCUGGCGGCAGGCCUAACACAUGCAAGUCGAGCGGAUGACGGGAGCUUGCUCCUUGAUUCAGCGGCGGACGGGUGAGUAAUGCCUAGGAAUCUGCCUGGUAGUGGGGGACAACGUUUCGAAAGGAACGCUAAUACCGCAUACGUCCUACGGGAGAAAGCAGGGGACCUUCGGGCCUUGCGCUAUCAGAUGAGCCUAGGUCGGAUUAGCUAGUAGGUGAGGUAAUGGCUCACCUAGGCGACGAUCCGUAACUGGUCUGAGAGGAUGAUCAGUCACACUGGAACUGAGACACGGUCCAGACUCCUACGGGAGGCAGCAGUGGGGAAUAUUGGACAAUGGGCGAAAGCCUGAUCCAGCCAUGCCGCGUGUGUGAAGAAGGUCUUCGGAUUGUAAAGCACUUUAAGUUGGGAGGAAGGGCAGUAAGCUAAUACCUUGCUGUUUUGACGUUACCGACAGAAUAAGCACCGGCUAACUCUGUGCCAGCAGCCGCGGUAAAAC